UGGCUCAGUCAGUUGAGCGUCUGACUUCAGCUCAGAUCAUGAUCUUGUGGUUCGUGGGUUCGAGUCCUGC
rnacentral:tRNA from 1 species